CGAGAGUUAUGGCCAAUUGCCGCCGGGAACAACGUUGGAGAAUUUAUAAAUCAUAAUUGAGCGAUUGGCUCCCCCCACACAUUCAUGCCGUAUAUACGCAUGUAUAACCACGCUGAAAUAAUGCCUACCUAAAGAGUUCUCUGGGAUGCUAAGGGCGAUAUUCCCCUGGCACUGGCCGUAACCUUUGGGUCGUCUCUUUCGACGCAACCUCGGCUA